rnacentral:rRNA from 1 species
AACGCUGGCGGCGUGCUUAACACAUGCAAGUCGAACGAACCUUCGGGUUAGUGGCGGACGGGUGAGUAACGCGUGAGAAUCUGCCCUCAGGAGGGGGAUAACAGCUGGAAACGGCUGCUAAUACCCCAUAUGCCGCGAGGUGAAAUGAAUUUCGCCUGAGGAUGAGCUCGCGUCUGAUUAGCUAGUUGGUGUAGGUAAUGGCUCACCAAGGCAUCGAUCAGUAGCUGGUCUGAGAGGAUGAUCAGCCACACUGGGACUGAGACACGGCCCAGACUCCUACGGGAGGCAGCAGUGGGGAAUUUUCCGCAAUGGGCGAAAGCCUGACGGAGCAAUACCGCGUGAAGGAUUAAGGCCUAUGGGUUGUAAACUUCUUUUCUCAGAGAAGAAUUUUGACGGUAUCUGAGGAAUAAGC